UCUGCUGCAAAUGGAUUUCUAUAUUACUAUAUCCAUAUAGAUAUGAGCAUGCAUGUAUGUAAGUACUGAGUCUAAUGAUCUCCAAGUAAGAAUUUGCCUAUUUCUGGCAGCCUGCUCUCAUAACCAGCCCGUUAUCCGAUACAGCUGAUAUAAUGGAUGGUUUUGCACGUUAAGGAUGUUUUCUUUCUCUCUUCAUAGUUUAAAUUGAGUAUCUCUGUUUAUGUGAAAUAUCUUUCAGCCAAGACAAAUGACCCAAUGCCAAGGCUCAAGCAAGGACUGUAUCCUCCUUUGCCUUCAGGUUUGGGGAAAGCUUGGCAGGGGCACUUGGCAUCCCACCGGGCAGCCGCUCCUCUCCCUCCCUGCUCAGGCCCGUGCUGAUCUCCCUUCUUCUACCGAUUUCUGAUGGUGGCUAACGCAACCAGCAGUAUAAAUAAUCUACACAUAUAAAGAAGUCUUGUGUCAUAAGAAAACAUUCUUCAAAGCAAAUGAAAAACUCUGCAGAGGUGAGCUGAAACCUAAACUCCAGAUGAAAGACUUACCACUGGUUCCCCAAUUUUUUUCUGGAAUGGACCAAACCCACGCACCCUGGGCAUGAAGGCACUACGAGUUGGGAUGGCACUCCCCAGCUGUACCUGAAACUUCAGCUGCCUGCAUCGCAGCCCACUCUGGAAGGUACUAGAAUUACCUGACAAGAAUUGUGACCAAAACGGAAAAAUUCCGACCGAAGUCAAACAUCUCGUGACCCUAUAAAUAGCGACCCUAAGUGAGACCCUUUGAGCGCUCUGGGGUCCCAGCACACUGUGACCCAGUACCUCCCCCUGAGCUGGGAUGUCCUCGGGUUAGAUUUUGUGAGGAUUUUGAAGAGUAGAUUUCGCAAGGAUUCCCGAGGUCAUCCACUGAUAGAUUCCGACAAAGAAGAAGGGUUCAAAGAUCAUCUGCUGACAAAUGCUGACGAAGGAGAAUAAUGAGUAAUUCACUACAAUUAGAUCUUGUGAGGUUUCAAAGAUCAUUUGGUACUAAUAAUUUACUACAGUACGCAGAGAGAGAAAAGUCUUGAUCAUAGGUUAAGCUCGAUAUGUGUGUGUGUGUCUGUGUGUGUGCGAUUCGAUUUAGGAAACUUUGUUGUAAGUCCUGUGUGGACCUUGCCAUUUUCACAUUUUAACUAAGUUACUAUGUUGAUUAUAGCAAAUUUUACUAAAUUGCGCUGAUAAUUGUCUGAGGAUUAAGUAUUGUUAAAAACCAUGCAACCUAAUCUUGUGAUUUACCUUAAUAGUGCUAAUAAAUUGUAAAUUGCUGCUACCUCAAA